UACGAAGGGGCUAGCGUUGCUCGGAAUCACUGGGCGUAAAGGGUGCGUAGGCGGGUCUUUAAGUCAGGGGUGAAAUCCUGGAGCUCAACUCCAGAACUGCCUUUGAUACUGAGGAUCUUGAGUUCGGGAGAGGUGAGUGGAACUGCGAGUGUAGAGGUGAAAUUCGUAGAUAUUCGCAAGAACACCAGUGGCGAAGGCGGCUCACUGGCCCGAUACUGACGCUGAGGCACGGAAAGCGUGGGGAGCAACAGG
rnacentral:rRNA from 1 species